GACAGAGGGUGCGAACGUUGUUCGGAAUUACUGGGCGUAAAGCGCGUGUAGGCGGCCGCGCAAGUCGGGCGUGAAAUCCCACGGCUCAACCGUGGAAGUGCACUCGAAACUGCGCAGCUAGAGUCCUGGAGAGGAAGGUGGAAUGCUUGGUGUAGAGGUGAAAUUCGUAGAUAUCAAGCGGAACACCGGUGGCGAAGGCGGCCUUCUGGACAGUGACUGACGCUGAGACGCGAAAGCGUGGGGAGCAAACGGG
rnacentral:rRNA from 1 species